rnacentral:lncRNA from 10 species
UCGUGGGCGUCCUUGGCUACCUUGGCCUGAACAGGGCCGCACGGCACCUGUGCCCGCCGCUGCCCACACCCUGUGCCAGCUCCGCCAUUGAGUUCCCUGGAGGGAAGGAGACUUGGCAGUGGAUCAACCCAGUGGACUUCCAGGAAGAGGCAUCCCUGCAGGAGGCCCUGGUGGUAGAGAUGUCCUGGGACAAAGGCGAGAGGACUGAGCCUCUCGAGAAGACAGAGCUACCUGAGGGUGCCCCUGAGCUGGCCCUGGAUACAGAGUUGUCCUUGGAGGAUGGAGACAGAUGUGAUCGUUGAGGCUCAGAGAGGGUGAGUGACUCGCCCGAGGCUACGUAGCACACACAGGAGUCACAUUUGGACCCAAAUAACCCAGAGCUCCUCCAGGCUCCAGUGCACCUGCCUCCUCUCUGCCCCGUGCCUGUUGCCACCCAUCCUGCGGGGGAACCCUAGAUGCUGCCAUGAAAUGGAAGCUGCUGCACCCUGCUGGGCCUGGCAUCCGUGGGGCAGGAGCAGACCCUGCCAUUUACCUGUUCUGGCGUAGAAUGGACUGGGAAUGGGGGCAAGGGGGGCUCAGAUGGAUCCCUGGACCCUGGGCUGG